GGACCUGUGGCGCAGUUGGUUAGCCCGCUGCCCUGUCACGGCGGAGGUCGCGAGUUCAAGUCCCGUCAGGGGCGCCA
rnacentral:tRNA from 1 species